UGCGCAGGCGGGAGGAUAGGUCGGAUGUGAAAACCCCGGGCUCAACCCGGGGCCUGCAUCCGAGACCAUUCUUCUUGAGUAUCGGAGAGGGAAGCGGAACUCCAGGUGUAGCGGUGAAAUGCGUAGAUAUCUGGGGGAACACCGGUGGCGAAGGCGGCUUCCUGGACGAAUACUGACGCUCAUGCACGAAGGCUAGGGGAGCAAACA
rnacentral:rRNA from 1 species